UCCGUAGCCUGUUUGAUAAGUUCCUGGUUAAAUCCGAUAGCUUAACUAUCGGCUAGCUAGGAAUACUGUCUUACUAGAGGGUGGGAAAGGUCUGGGGUACUCCAGGGGUAGCGGUGAAAUGCGAUAAUCCUUGGGGGACCACCAGUGGCGAAGGCGCCAGACUGGAACACGCCUGACGGUGAGGGACGAAAGCCAGGGGAGCGAACAGGAUUAGAUACCCUGGUAGUCC
rnacentral:rRNA from 1 species